rnacentral:rRNA from 1 species
UACGUAGGGGGCAAGCGUUGUCCGGAAUCAUUGGGCGUAAAGAGCGUGUAGGCGGCCUGAUAAGUCGGUUGUGAAAGUCAAGGGCUCAACCCUUGAAUGCCGACCGAUACUGUCAGGCUAGAGUCCGGAAGAGGCGAGUGGAAUUCCUGGUGUAGCGGUGAAAUGCGCAGAUAUCAGGAGGAACACCAAUGGCGAAGGCAGCUCGCUGGGACGGUACUGACGCUGAGGAGCGAAAGCAUGGGGAGCGAACAGG